UGGGGUGUAGCCAAGUGGUAAGGCAGCGGACUUUGACUCCGCUAUUCGUAGGUUCGAGUCCUCCCACCCCAG
rnacentral:tRNA from 1 species